UCUGACUGGUGUACCUAGGCUCAACUGCGGAGCUAAGGGAGGUUUUCCAUCGUCGGAGUGUCUGAUUGAAUCAACUCAAGCAUUCAAUCAAUCAUAUUACAGGUGAAAAAUGUGACCCACUGGAGCUUAGAAAAUGCGCAAAGUCUCUUCAAGAUCGAGUUUGGAGAUCCUGGUUUUGAGGAUGUUUAUGUUCUCUUUUGCAUGGCCAUGAAUGUCAAGAGAAGCUACUGUAUUCUCAGCCCUAAGGAGUUAAUUCUGAUUGGCUUUAAGCCCACUAUUGGUGGCCUGGACCUUCACUUGCCACUAGGGUGAACAGACAGGCAUCAUGCAUCACAUUUUCAGGAAGCAGCUUGCCGUAACAUUUUGCAACAUGCUUGGAUGUCCUGGAUAUGAGAAGACCAACCAGAAGGUCAGAAACUGAAAAUUGGUUUGCAGAAUAGUUUGAGUGAACGUCUUAAGGUUACAAAGGCAAGCAUAUGGAGAUCUACGUUUGCAUCUUUGAAUUGUAGGAGGCAGAUCUAUUCAACACAUUGCUAGGAGGCAUCCACUGAACAGCCCAGAUGCUAGUAUUUUCCAGCAUUCAACAGUACUUACGUAGUGGACAUGACUUCAUCUGCGAAGAGAAAACCAACUCAAAAUGGAGAAAUAACAGUAAGAAAAUUUAUGAUGUCACAGAAGAGGAUACACAAGGGAAGGCAAUCCUAAGAUUGAUGGGAAACAUAGGAAAAAGAAGAUAAUACUGGAACAAGGUGUUGGAGGAUGACAGCUAAAUCCCACUUCAACCAAGCAACCAACCAACCCACCCUGAGAAGUUUCCAUUCCAGGGGCUGGAUGGAAAGAAGUACCUCCAAAGAAUAUAUGUAUAACUUCAUAUCUCUUCAGGGUCUUUGGUAGAGCGAUCCAAUUUGGGAAGACCAGUCUUUGAAAAACUAUGAAAACUAUUUGCUAAUAUUAUGAAAAGCACAAUUUUCCUUUGCAUCUCUCUCUUUGAAUGUUAUAGGACUAUAUAGAAAGCUGCAGAUAUAAUGCCACAGUAAUUAGAAACUUUCCCCUCUAAAGACUGAAAAGCAGCUAACUCGUGGACUCACUAUACUUUCUUCAAAUGAUUUUUUUCUGGAAGCAUCGUAACAUUCAAUAAGUAGUCACAAUUUUUUUAAAUUAUUUAUCCAUAAGAUUAAAAGAAGUCCCUCCAUAUGUGUGCUCUAUAAAUAUUUGUUGAAUAAAAGACUCAAUUAAAAAAUAAUAAAAAAGCAGUUUUGCAAAUUGCUAAUCACAUCCACUCUAGUGAGAAAUAGACAUGCAACCAUUAGUUCCCUCUUUU
rnacentral:lncRNA from 1 species